GCCUGGGUGGCUCGGUCGGUUGAGCAUCUGACUUCGGCUCAGGUCAUGAUCUCGCGGUCUGUGAGUUCAAGCCCCGCGUCGGGCU
rnacentral:tRNA from 1 species